AACGAAGCUUAAGCUCUUUAACCCUGAUUUGGCCUACUGCAAUGUACAGGGUGGGUAUUUCCCGACCCCCACCCCAGGGCUAUCCGAAUUUGAGAGCCACAAUGCAAUUUUAUUUUUAUAUUACGCCAUUUCACUUGUAGAAUCUAGCCUAGUCUCAAACCCAAAGUUUUAAGGCGCGAUUAUAUGAAUCUAUUCGCUCACAUCCGGUACGGCUUUCUUUAACGUUUGGUAUUUUGCAUUUUUAAUUUAAAGUCACUUUUUCCAAACAAGUCGUGGACUCCGACAACGAAAUCAAACGUUGGGUCUACCGGAUAGAUCUAAUAGCAGCUGUACACGGAUAGGAUUGCCGAGAAUAAAUGACAGAAAAUGAACUCUAUGGGAAUCACAAGAUGGGGGAAAGCAACGAUUACUCUACCAUUGAAAUGCCCUUGACCUUUGAGACAUCUGCCUAAAGGUCACCACCAGCAAUAUCGG